AGAAAUAUCACAGAGUCGGAGGCGGCGGCGGAACGAUCAAGCGCGACGUGCAAAUGUCAGAGGCAGACUGGCGUGCGACAAGGCCAAGCGAACUUCAUUUACCACCGAAAGCAGAGGCAGAGGCUGACUCUGGAGUCGGACGGGACUGGAGUUCCAUGUAGUCACGAGCAGCAGCAGAGCUUCAGUCAACAAAUUGCAAACGUUGUGCAAACGCAACGCCAAAGAGCUUCUGCUGCUGCUCGGGGAUCACUCAUUAUUUGUGCUAUUAAUUGAUCAGUAGGUCGGAGACUCGCACGGGUCAAUGCUAUCAGCAUACAAUGUUUUUCAAUCAAUUUGGUUUUAAGCGGCACGAUGAGCUCAGGCUUCGUUCCAGGCUUACAUUCAGCAGCUGUUGCCGGUAAUUUUAUGCUGUGAUGUCAAAUUUAUUAUUAUUACUGCCUCUGAAUGGUAAGCAAAAUAAAUAUUUUAGACAGAAAAAAAAAAAAA